rnacentral:misc_RNA from 1 species
CCAGAGAUGGUGGGCCCCGCGCCCCCGUCCCCAACCCUUUGUUGACCUAAAAAAACCUUUUGCCUCGGGGGCAGAGCGGCCGCCACGGGCGCCGCCCCCGGAGGACCACCAAACGCUGUCUCUGUACGUCGGAGUCUUUUGAUUAAAUAAAUCA